UAGAAAUGGCAAAAAAAAAAAAGAAAAAAAAAAGAAUUAUAAUCAGAGUACACAACAACAUCCAUCCAUCUGUGCCUACUUUUAUGCAUCCACCAAAUCUUUCGAGCUCCUUUUUUGGGGGGGUGGGGUGGGCACCCUUGUGGCAUAUUGAAGUUCCCAGGCUAGGGGUCAAAUGAGAGCUCCAGCUGCCAGCCUGUACCACAGCCACAGCAACGUGGGAUCUGAGCGAUGUCUGAGACCUACACCACAGCUCAUGGCAAUACCAGAUGCUUAACCUACUCAGUGAGGCCAGGGGUCGAACCCACAUCCUCAUGGAUACUAGUCAGGUAGGUAACCCACUGAGCCAAAACGGGAACUCCCUCCUAUAAGCAACUUUAGGGAGCCAAUUCUCUUGCACAGAGAUGGAUCAGGAUUGUACCUGCUUCCAGGGGCUCUCAGCUUCAGUGGGAAGGCCAGUACUGUGGGUGAAGGAGGCCACCAUUAGUUCAGCCUGGGCCACUGGGCUUCAUAGAGGUACCCUUUGAACUGGUUAGAGAUUAAGUUGAGAGUUUGCCAGGAUCAUGAGAGGGAAGGGCCUCUUAAGUACAGAGAAUGACCAAGGCCAAUGUGGGGUGGGAUGUUUAGGGCCUCUUGGCUCCCUCUGUGUUAUAGCUGAAAUUUGGCAGUAGCCACAAAUGAAGCUAUUGGAGGGGGUUCUGAGCCAAAGCCCAACAUGCUAACAGACCCCACUUUAGGCAGCAGAAUCUCCUUAACUCUGGUGCGCAUGGCUGGCAGGCCAAGAGGGGGCCGGCUGCUGGGGAGGGGCAUGUGCUAGUCUGCCUGUUCCCCCCUAGUAGCAUGAGUCUCCUGCCUGUGCCUAACCUCUGUCUUAUUCUGUGGGUCAGGAGGCCUUUUCUGCCCAGAUGUAGGCAGACAGGAGCUGGGAAGCACCAGCCUGGCCCUCAUCAUUUCCUUUCAGCCACGGUAGAAGGAGGGAUGCCAUCAUUUGCAUUUCAAAACCUCUAUCUCCCUGCAUCUUCCCUUUAAUAAGAGCCAAUUACACCUCUGCCCCAAACCGCAGGUUGUCUGCCUGUCAUUGGACUUUUAUCCUGUUUGGGGUGGGGAGGAACUGCUCUCUUAAAUGUCACAUUUAGCAUAUGCAAAUGAAAAUAAUUGUCCUUAAUGGAAGAUGAACUCACCUGCUGGCUGAGUGCUCCAGACAAAAGCAGCCAUUGAUGAAAUGGGCACCGGGUAGGCCAGGGUCUACUAUUCCUAUUUUCUGCCUCAGCCAAGGGCUCCACAGGCCUUGCCCACCUCUCUCCACCCAUCUGGAAUUUAGCAGUCUUAGAGUCAGUUAGGAGGUGACACAUGUAGAGAUCAUUUUUCCAUUUGACAGAUGUGGCCACUGGGGCCUAGAGGUGGGAGGGACUUGCUAAAAGUUAUGGGCUGAGUCAAACCUCUUGGGGGAAGUCAGAGUGGAAGCCUACAAGCAGCUUGGGCUGGGAAAAGAAAGGACUCCCAGGAUUCUCCACCCAGAGAGGAAUGAAGAGGCAGCGAUGGAAUCUGGCUCUUGCCUGGAGCAUAGGUCUUUAGUAGGAAUGGUGUUCAACCUGGGAGCUGUGCUUGGGGAUCUGGAGACUGAGGGGAGAGGGCUGGGGGCGGGGAGGGGCUUUGGAGACCAUGUCCUCCACUUCCCAUUAAGACUGGUGCCUCCACCUAUCCAUGCCAAGUGUGUCUUAAAUCAAGAGUGGAGGCAGAAGGAGCUCAGAGGGCUUGAGCUCUCUGUCACCAGCAUGUGCAAAUAGCGGGGGAGUGUCCUCUGAGUAUGUGGUCCCCAAAGAGGGGGAGGUUCUCCUUGAAGAUGAGCCCUGAUUGACUACCCCUUGAGCCCUGAGCUGAACAUAGGAUGAGGAUUUUAAGGAGCCCCAGACUUGGUAGAAAUGGGAGAUCUGGCCUGCUCUACUCCAAGAAUCACAACCCCUGCCUUGUCUAAUUCCAGGGUCUGUAGCUGGGGAUAUGCCUCAAGCCUGGGUCUCAUUCUGGUCCCUGCCUGGCCUUAGGGUCUUGCCCCUGACUCCUAGGGAAGUGCUGUUUUGUGGAGUUGGAAAGUGUAGACUCUAAUCUCAGCAUGUCCACUUAACUACAUGACCUUGAAUGUUUUUCCUAUGACCUUUAAGCCUUAGCACCCUCCCCAGUGGAGUGGACAUGGUGUAACCAUCUCCUCACAGCACUGGGGGAAAACACCAGGGGGCUUAUUGUGAUGCCUGGCAUGGGAGGGACUCAGUAGAGAUUUGUUUGAAAAAAAUCACUUGUCCUACCCACUUCCCCUUGCCCAUGGAGGGGCCUGAGUCCUCCCACAACCCCCUAGGUCCUCCAAGUUCUGCCCACCAGCUCUGCCUGGCGGCCCUGGGCUGUCUGCCUUCUGUUGCCUCUUGCUGGGUUUUCCAUAUGGCCCACUCAGCUCGGCCGCCUCACUANNNNNNNNNNNNNNNNNNNNUGCCGGUGACCUUGGGUAAGAGGCACGGGGCAUCUCCAGGCUCUUUCCCCAGGUGUCCUGACUGGUCUCAGAGAGUAUCAGGAAUUUUCCCAAGGUCACAAGGUGAGGUCAAGGGUCAGCCAGCCCCUUUCUUUGAUAGUCUAUGAGCUUGUGACUAUCACAGUGAAGUAUAUCCAUCUGGAACAUAGGGCGCUCAAGUGUUCCAAGAGGAGGCCACGGCCCUUGGCACCAAAGGCAGGGUGAGGAUAGGGAGACAGGGCUUGGUCUGAGAAGGGUGAGUGGACAGCCAGCUCCUGGCAGAUGUCUGUCUUCAAUUCCUGCCACUGCUCCAGGCUCCUUACUCUCAGCCAUGGCUUCUCCAAGAGCCCUGCUCCCUGGGGCUCUGUGGUCAACUCCCACUGCCAAGCCUGCUCUGGAGACAGGCACACCCUAGUCCCAAUCCCAAUUUGCACAAGGUCUGCCAGCUUAUUAACCAUUUGCUCUUUGGGGGACCUCUUGGGGCCUCAGUAUCCUCAUCCAUAAAAUAGGGAUGGUGAUGCAUACUCCAUGUGGUUUAGGAGGAAAAUAAGUUCAGGUAUUUGUGAGAACCAUCUAGUGCCUGAGUUCUAGUGGGUGUCCUAAUAGAUCUGACAGAUCCAUGUUCCAAUCCUAGCCCUGACACUUUCCACCUGUGUUAUCUCGGGCAAUUGUCAACCUCUACGGGUUUCAAUUUCCCCACUGUAAAAUGGGGCAAUGAUAAACCCUACACCAGGGAGCUGCUCUAAGGCCUCAGUGAGAUGACCCAUGCAACCUCCUGAGUGAAGGGCUCGCACAGAGUAAAUGCUCCAGAAGGUCAAGGGUCACCAAGGUUGUCAUACUUUCUGAAGCUUGGAAUCCUCAAGUUCAUAAGAUUGCCCCAGGAUACAUUCCAACAGGACCUGGCAUUCAAGCAUGACAUUCAAGGCCCUUCUCAACUUGGUCCAACCAUCCCUUCCCGGUCAUUGCUGUUAUCCCGACAGCUAUUCCACUGUGGCCACUCGCAACCACAAAUUCUUCCCUGACCCCUCUGUGCCUUUACUGUUGCUGUUCCCUGACUUAGCCACUUGACAGCAGCUAUGUUUCCUUUGAAACUUAUCCCAAAUGCCAUCUCCUCUGCCUAGGAAUCAGGGAACCAUGAGAUUAUUGUUCCCUUAGCCAACCAUAAAAUAGCCCCUUGUAUAGAACUCAACUGUCGAUGUGUGCCCCAACUAGACUGUGAUUUCUGGGGCAGGGACUCUGCUCUACUUCUUACUGCAUCUCCUGGGGCCUGGCAUCCCAGGUACCACCGCACUCUCCAGGGCAUGACAUCCUAGCAUCUCAGGACAUAGUACAGUGCUGGAUCCCAAAGCAACUGCUCAGGGAUGGUUGUGGGAGGGUCAGAAGCUGCUUCAGGUCUGCUGCUCCCUUUGUGCCUUCCACAUUGUGCAGUCUGGGGCCUCAUUCAUUCCACUAGAGGCUGCAAAUUUCUGCCUUUGGGGAGCAGCAGUCAUUAGGCCUGCUCAGAUAUCCCAGUUUGUUUUCUCCUCCUUCUGGACACAUGGUGGGACUGCUCUCCUAUCCUUCUCUGAGGGGAGGUAAAGUUGUGUGACCUGUCAUGGUCAAUGGCAUGCAAGCAGAAACAAAAUGUUUUGUUCCUAAGUGGAAGCCGUAAUGGCAGGAGUGUCACUUGCCAUUUCCUUCCCUGUCUUGGUGACCAUGGAAGCACAUGAUGGGAUGGAGACUCCAUCAGCCUUCAAAGUGAUGCUGAGACCCCUUCCACCCAGGACUGAUGUAUACCUUGAUCAGGAAGUUAAAUUUGCUUUGUUAAACCACUGAGAUUUGGGGGCUGGCUAUUCCUGCAGCAAAACCUAGCCCAUCCUGACUGAUUCCAGGGACUAUGCAGGCACGUUAAGUGUGAGACGGGGUAGGUUUUGGGCAAUGUGCAGUGGUGGAGAUAGGUGUGUUUAACUGACAACACAUCCCACCCAAAAACAUUCAACUCCAUAGUUUUUAAAAAACCAUGCUGACCCGGUAAUACCACUGCCAGUGACCCAGAUCAGGCCAAGGACCAUGGUUGACUUGCUCUUCUCUGGGUCUAGGGAUGGAGAGUAUGGGCAUCAGUAGGGGCCCUUCCCACAGUGUGAUGACUAAUGCUAGGAUGUGCACACAGGUAGAGCCAGAGCUCUGUCCUCAGUGUGCAGAAUCUAAAGCCAAAGUCACACGACCAGCUGACGGCCAGGCAAAGAACCAAGACUUCAACCAUCUGACCUCAGAAGCUCUCUUCAGUGCCUCACUGGAUGGGGAAAGGAAGGCGUGGUGGCAGAGGACACAUCUCCCCUUCUCUUCUGUUGUCCAGGCCACAACCGAGGCUGGCUGGCUCUCAACGAUUCCUGGGGCACCAGGCGGCAAGCCAUUGGCUGAUGAAUUCAGUACUGGGUCAGAGCAGGAGCCCUGCCUUCCCCUGGGAAGCUGUGGGGAGCUUCCUCCCAGCUCCGGUCUCCUCGGCCUGUCUUCGAGGCUGCCCGGAAGCCGUCUCCCUGUGAUUAACGAGCAUUUCCCCUCCCGUGGGCCCCGUGCUGGGGGACGGAUGGGAUGUGGCUUUGGCUAUUGUGGGUAGUGCUGGGGUUUGGGGAGCCUUGGAGCAUGGGCUGCAGCUGUUUACUUGGCAGGGACUUGCUCGCAGAUGCGAGGCCGAGGGGGUGUGUGGGGAUGUGAGGGGUGGAGUGGAACCCAGGGAGAAGCCGGUGCCCUCACCCCUCCUCAGAAGGAGCCCAUGCUUUGGACUCUGUGCUCCUGGGGAGAAAUCAACCCCUUGCUGGGAGUUCAGAACCAUGGCUCUCAGAACCCACCCCUGAUGGUGGCCCAGCUGCCUCCAGCUGUCUAUAGAUGUUGGUCCAGUUUCUUCUGCCUCUGCACCUCCUAGAUGCUGACCCCCAAGGAUCCUCUUACUAUUGCAAGUGUGGCUUUGGUUUCAGGAUUGAAGCUAACGCUGGGUUUAGUCCCCAGCUCCAAUUAUCCUGGGCAGUGGAAUUUGGACCUGGGAGAGGCCAGGAUUGGAAGAGUUCUUAGCUAAUGGAAAGAUGGAACUGUGGGCUACUCCCUGCUUAGCUCAUCUCAGGGGACAGGGCAGGCCCCGCAUCUUCCUAGAGUACAGCCAUGGGUUUCCAGGAUGUGAGCUCAACACAAAGGGUGGGGGUCCUUUCCCACCCCAUCUGGGACACUUUUCCAUUCCUUGCCCAAAGGGGCCUGCCAGGUCUUUUUCAGCCUGGAACAAUGAGUUGUAAGGACGGCAAGCAGGGAGGCUCCUUGUGUUAGUGGCUGAGUGUGGUGUAAGUGUGGAGAAUAGAGAGGGCAUUCCCUAUACGCUGUCAGUGCCGAAUAGUUUUGUGCUUGUUGAUAUUGUAAUUCACUUGUUCCUUCUUCCAUCCUUCCAAGAUCUCCAUUAAUUUAUCUAUUUUCCAAACAAGUCAUUCAUCCAUCCAUCCAUUAUGUUAUUUCCAUACAUUUCUCCAUCCAAGCGUCCAUCCAGCUCUUCUCCCUUUCAUGCAUCCAUGCAUCCAUCCACAAACUCUAGCUGCAUGCUUGUGCUAGACCAGGCCCUGUGCCAGUUGCUAGGAUACAGAGAUAAACAGUUCAUCAUCUCUGCCCUGAGAGCAUUCCUAGUCUAGUGACCAGAUAUAAACACCAAUGUCUCUGCAGUAAUAUCAAGCUGCAACGAAUGUGAAAGUUGUUUUAUGAAUCCAGAGGAUUAACCGACUCCAACUCAAAUGACACCUCCUCUAGGACACUUUCUCUGAUCCUACCAUGUGACAUGGGAAUUUGACAGGUGGAGAAGGGGUGAAGGGCCUUUCUGGCAGAUGGACCAGGCUUUGCACAGACCAGAGCUCUGCAAAUACAUAACACGUUCAAGGGGCUAUGGUGCCGUGGCUGCAGGAGGCUGCGAGGUGGAAGGGGUGCCCUAGAGAAGAAGGAGCAGUGCUCAUGGCCAGGUGGUAGAUGGUCCUGGAUGCCAAAUUAAGGCUUUUGAAUUUCCCUGUGGUCUUCGAGGCACCAGGGAGAAGUGGGAAGCAGAGGCGAGGCCUGGUCAGAUGUAUAUUUUAGGAAGACCAUCCCAGCUGCAUUAGGUUUUUUGAGGCAUGUGUACCUGGGUUUGGAUCUUUCUAUUUAAGACAUUGGGCAUGCAAAUUAAUUAUUCCGAGUUUGCUUCCGCUUCUCCAGUAUGGAGAUGAUGCUCUCUACUGCAUUGAUUUUUGUGGUAUAAGUGAGACAUUACCUAAGAAGUACCUGGGACAGUUCCCAGCACAAUUUCUGACACGAAUCACCUUAUUCUGGGCUCUGCCUGGACCCAGCUGGAAUGAGAGCUUGGGUCUUCUGCUGCUGAUUCCAGCUCAUGUGUGUGUUUGGGAGCAGUCACUUAAUCUCUGAGGACUGCAAUUUUCUUAGCCAUGUAAUGGGCACGAAAGUAGCCACUUUGUAGCAUUGCUGUGAGGAGUGGACCAGAUGACUGGUGUGCCUGGCAAGUUGCCUGGGCUGCAGACACAGCAGGGGUUUCAGACUCAGAGAACCAGUGAUGCCCCAGCUUGGGACAUGAACAUUGGACUAGUGACCCCAGGUGCUCUGGCACGGGGCCACAAGAAACUCUUCCUGCCCGUGAGUAGCUCCCUCGUCCCCGCCCUGCCUCGCCCAGCCCAGCUGCUCAAGGAGAUGGCUCCCUGGCCCCGUGACCGCAGCUGCUAAUCUCCAGGAGCAGCAGGCUGAGGCAAGGCCUGGCAUGUCCGUGGGCCUCAGCAGCCUGCUUUACCCAGGGCUGUGGCUCCAUGCCCACCCCCGCCCCCAGCUUCAGGGCUGGGGCUGCUGCCCACCAUCCCUGCUCCACACACUGGCCUUGAGUCCUGCCUGACCCUCGAUCGUGAUGGGCCAGGAAGAAGUCACAGAAAGAGGUGUCCAAGAAAAGAGCCGUGUCUGUACAGGGCCUGCUCUACCUGCCCAUAGGCAGUGACCAGGAAUGACCAGGCCCAAGUACUUCUCUCACUUGUCACUUGGCCUCUGGGAGAGCCUCGGUGAGCUCAUCUGAAAAAUAGGGCUGAUGAUAUUAACUGCACAGGUUCAGUGUGGGGGGAGAAGACAGGGAAGGGAAAGACCUUCGUAAAGUGUUACUCACGUAUGUUUGUUUGGUGCCUAAUGACAGAGUCACUGAGUUCCCCGCCUUGUUCUCAAGGACAAUAAUGCCCUUCUGUGGGAGCAAAGGGCGGCUGUGGGAGGAAUACCCUCCUGAAGCAAAGAAAGUGUUCUAGGGAACUUGGAACCAGGAAGGGCCUGUGAAUGCCAUUCCUCCUACCUGGCGUUCCCUGUGCUUGCUGCACACACAAGUGCACUCUCAUGCAUGUGCAUAGGAUGCAAAUUCACAAACUCACACAUGUCUACUUACAUAACACGUAUACACACAGCACCACACCCUAUGCCCACACAUACCCGCACUUCAGGAUGGGAACACAUGUUCACACACAAAUGCACAAACCUGUGCCUGCAUUUGUCUGCACACACCUACAACCCCUUCACAAAUGAUGACUUUCCAGGGGUUAGAAAUCCCAGCACUUAACUGGGUUGAGUUUGAUAUCCUGUAGCCAUAAGUGUCAGAGUAAACCUCACACUGUAGAGGUAUAGGGCUGUAGAGCUGGAAAAUAAGAGAAGGGGGUUCUUGUGUGGUGCAAAGGGUUAAGGAUCUGGUGUUGUCGCUGUAGCUGCUGGAGUCGCUGUUGUGGCAUGGGUUUGAUCCUUGGCUCGGGAACUUCUAUAUGCCAUGGGGGCAGCAAAAACAAAAAAACAAAAUAAAACAACCAAGAAUUAAAAAUCAAGUUUUGGGGAGUUCCCGUCGUGGCGCAGUGGUUAACGAAUCCGACUAGGAACCAUGAGUUUGCGGGUUCGGUCCCUGCCCUUGCUCAGUGGGUUAACAAUCCGGCGUUGCCGUGAGCUGUGGUGUAGGUUGCAGACGCGGCUCGGAUUGCGCGUUGCUCUGGCUCUGGCAUAGGCCAGUGGCUACAGCUCCGAUUCGACCCCUAGCCUGGGAACCUCCAUAUGCCGCAGAAGCGGCCCAAAGAAAAUAGCAAAAAAUAAAUAAAUAAAUAAAUAAAUAAAAAUCAAGUUUUGAAACAAAUGAAAAAGAUAGAGAAUAAGGGAAGAUUAUAGAACCCCUUCCCCCCCCGCCACUGGCUACUUGGUCACUUGCAGAUGGGGAAAGCAAAGCUCGGAGAGGUAGGGGCCAUGUAGGGCCAGCUCUGUGACCUUGGCCAAGGUAGGAGUCUCACUGGCUCACUGUCAUGGACAGCCCCUCUGACAACCCGUGCCUACCUCUCCUCCUUGAUUCUCAGUCUGAAGCCGGGAUCUGGCAGCCCCCGUGGUAACCCGGUCCCUUGCUGUGCUCUCUAGUCCUCAUUCUUAGCAGGACAAAGGUAAAGCCCCUGACCUGGGGCACGUGAGCAGCCUUUGCUGGGGGAUAACACAGACAGCAGACCACUUGCCAGUUGGGUCUUCUGGAGGACAGAUGAGCCUGGCUAUUUACCCCAGGAAGGGUAGGGUCCAGGGGCUGGUUUAUCCACAGGCACACCAAGCCUGAGACAUCCUGAUGACUAUUUUCCCAAGAAUAUUUGAUAACUGAAAAAAAAAAAAA
ensembl:lncRNA